rnacentral:rRNA from 1 species
UACGUAGGUGGCAAGCGUUGUCCGGAAUUACUGGGCGUAAAGCGCGCGCAGGCGGUUCCUUAAGUCUGAUGUGAAAGCCCACGGCUCAACCGUGGAGGGUCAUUGGAAACUGGGGAACUUGAGUGCAGAAGAGGAGAGUGGAAUUCCACGUGUAGCGGUGAAAUGCGUAGAGAUGUGGAGGAACACCAGUGGCGAAGGCGACUCUCUGGUCUGUAACUGACGCUGAGGCGCGAAAGCGUGGGGAGCAAACAGG